rnacentral:rRNA from 1 species
CAGUAGCCGCGGUAAUACGUAGGGCGCAAGCGUUAUCCGGAAUUAUUGGGCGUAAAGAGCUCGUAGGCGGUUUGUCGCGUCUGCCGUGAAAGUCCGGGGCUCAACCCCGGAUCUGCGGUGGGUACGGGCAGACUAGAGUGAUGUAGGGGAGACUGGAAUUCCUGGUGUAGCGGUGAAAUGCGCAGAUAUCAGGAGGAACACCGAUGGCGAAGGCAGGUCUCUGGGCAUUAACUGACGCUGAGGAGCGAAAGCAUGGGGAGCGAACAGGAUUAGAUACCCCGUAGUCCCUGUCUCUUAUACA